ensembl:lncRNA
AUGUGCAGGAAAAGAUGUGACUGUCUGCUGAUUAACGCAAUGAUAUUUUGUUUUCAUUUGUUAAUUUUUUUCAGAGUCAUGAUAAGGAUAAGCAUAAACACAAGGAACACAAAGAUAAAGAACAUAAAGAACAUAAAGGCAAAGACAAGAAGAAGAAGAAAGACAAGGAACACAAGAAGAAGAGCGGUGGCAAGUCCUCCUCUUCCUCCAGCGAUUCGGACUAAAGCAAGUCUGAAGAUUCAUCAGAUACUUCCAGAAUUUUUUAAAAAAAAUCUUUAUUAUGAUUUUUAUAGAUAAAUAAAUGCAAUAUUAUACAAUUAAGGGGGGGGGAUAAUCAGUCUCUUGAAGUUGUCAUUAAGUUAUUGAGCUGUAAUUCCAAACUUCCACAAGGUGGCGCUACGUACAUGUCAAAUCUUCAAUGAAACACUGGAAUAAAGAGACUUAUCAGCUAUUUUUGUAAAACUGU